GAUGAACGCUGGCGGCGUGCCUAAUACAUGCCAGUCGAGCGAACAGACGAGGAGCUUGCUCCUCUGACGUUAGCGGCGGACGGGUGAGUAACACGUGGAUAACCUACCUAUAAGACUGGGAUAACUUCGGGACACCGGAGCUAAUACCGGAUAAUAUAUUGAACCGCAUGGUUCAAUAGUGAAAGACGGUUUUGCUGUCACUUAUAGAUGGAUCCGCGCCGCAUUAGCUAGUUGGUAAGGUAACGGCUUACCAAGGCAACGAUGCGUAGCCGACCUGAGAGGGUGAUCGGCCACACGGGAGCGGAGACACGGUCCAGACUCCUGCGGGAGGCAGCAGUAGGGAAUCUGCCGCAAUGGGCGAAAGCCUGACGGAGCAACGCCGCGUGAGUGAUGAAGGUCUUCGGAUCGUAAAACUCUGUUAUUAGGGAAGAACAAAUGUGUAAGUAACUAUGCACGUCUUGACGGUACCGAAUCAGAAAGCCACGGCUAACUACGUG
rnacentral:rRNA from 1 species